CAAGUCGAGCGGACAGAUAAGGAGCUUGCUCCUUUGACGUUAGCGGCGGACGGGUGAGUAACACGUGGGCAACCUACCCUAUAGUUUGGGAUAACUCCGGGAAACCGGGGCUAAUACCGAAUAAUCUUUUGUCUCUCAUGAGACAAUUCUGAAAGACGGUUUCGGCUGUCGCUAUAGGAUGGGCCCGCGGCGCAUUAGCUAGUUGGUGAGGUAACGGCUCACCAAGGCAACGAUGCGUAGCCGACCUGAGAGGGUGAUCGGCCACACUGGAACUGAGACACGGCCCAGACUCCUACGGGAGGCAGCAGUAGGGAAUCUUCCACAAUGGGCGAAAGCCUGAUGGAGCAACGCCGCGUGAGUGAAGAAGGAUUUCGGUUCGUAAAACUCUGUUGUAAGGGAAGAACAAGUACAGUAGUAACUGGCUGUACCUUGACGGUACCUUAUUAGAAAGCCACGGCUAACUACGUGCCAGCAGCCGCGGUAAUACGUAGGUGGCAAGCGUUGUCCGGAAUUAUUGGGCGUAAAGCGCGCGCAGGUGGUUUCUUAAGUCUGAUGUGAAAGCCCACGGCUCAACCGUGGAGGGUCAUUGGAAACUGGGAGACUUGAGUGCAGAAGAGGAUAGUGGAAUUCCAAGUGUAGCGGUGAAAUGCGUAGAGAUUUGGAGGAACACCAGUGGCGAAGGCGACUAUCUGGUCUGUAACUGACACUGAGGCGCGAAAGCGUGGGGAGCAAACAGGAUUAGAUACCCUGGUAGUCACGCCGUAAACGAUGAGUGCUAAGUGUUAGGGGGUUUCCGCCCCUUAGUGCUGCAGCUAACGCAUUAAGCACUCCGCCUGGGGA
rnacentral:rRNA from 1 species